AUGGUGGCGGCGGUUCGGUGCGCGGCGAGGAGGCUCGGUGGCUCCCUGCUCCAGCGAACGCAGGCGGCGGUCGCGGAUGAGGGACGCGGGCUCGCGCCAAGCAGGCUCAUGCGCUCCCGCCAGCUCUCCACCAAGCCAACAACGCAGGCGGCGGUCGCUGAUGAGGGACGCAGGCUCGUGCCAAGCAGGUUCAUGCGCUCCCGCCAGCUCUCCACCAAGCAUGCUGCAGACUCUACACGCCAGAUCCAGCACAAGGAGGAGGAGCUGUCUGGUGUGCUGUCUAAGGCUAACGGGCAGCAUCUUUCUGCACAAGCCGCUCAAAGUCCAGUCGAGCCUCGUCAUACAGGCCGUCGCCGUUAUCGCUGUCGUCGCUGCUGCUGCUGCUGUCGUCGAGGGGCACCACGGGCACGGCCGGCGCAGCCAUCGAGUCCUCGAGCGCGGCGUGGUACCCGGGAAAGUCCUCCGGGUCCUCCGGGUGAACGGCGCCCGGGGCGACCUGAAGGUACUCCUGAACGAGCGGCGGCGGCUGCGGCAUGUUCUCCGACUCACGGAGCGCUGUCAGGUAGCCCGGCAUGUCGUCCGGGUCGCCGGCCUCCGCCGCCAGCUGCCUGUACUCCGCCACCAAUGCCGGCUCUGGCGGCUGCUGCGGCUCGGGCGGAGGGGCGCGGCUGGACCCUGCGCCGUUCCUGCCCGCCAUACGGCGAUCGCCGGGGCCGAGGCGGACAGCGCCGCGGUCACCGCCUCGGCCUCCGCGGGGCAGGGGCGGGUGCAUGGCGCCGAAGUCGAGGCGGGCGCGGGUCGAGCGCGCCUCGCCGCGGCGGUACAGCUGAGAGCUGUCCCCCGGCGGAGCAGGCACGACGCCGGCGACCGCCUACACGCGGUACAGCGCGACCACCUCCUCGAAGGAGGGGUUGUACCGAAGAAGAAGUGGAGGAUGAUGUGGUUGUGUGCGUGCAGAGGGCGGCCAUGCCGUGGGCGGCGCGCCUCCUGUCCGUGGCCUGCGUCUCCGUGGCGGCCAAGAUGGAGGAGUACUGCGCGCCGGCGCUGUCGGAGCUCGACGCCGGCGGCGGCUACGAGUUCUGCUUCGCCUCCGUCCGCCGGAUGGAGCUGCUCGUGCUGUCCACGCUCGGCUGGCGCAUGGCCGCCGUUACGCCGUUCGACUACCUCCCUUGCUUCUCCUCCCGGCUCGACCGGCACGACGGUCGCGGCGGCGGCGGCCUUGACCCCGCCGGCGUCGCCCUCAAGUCCAUCGGCUCCAUCUGUGCCACAGCCGAAGCCGGCAGUGUGCUGGAUUACAUGCCAUCUACUGCGGCUGCAGCUGCAAUCUUGGUUGCAUCAUAUGAAGCUCUACUGACCAAAGAAGCACUGGAGUCCAAGAUGGACAAUCUAUCUCCAUCAUGCCCCAUUGAGAAGGUUUCUUGCACAAACUAA
rnacentral:rRNA from 1 species